rnacentral:lncRNA from 1 species
AUUAUGAUCCUUUUAUGCAUUUGGAAAGUCUCAAAGAGCCUGAACCUCUACAUUCUCCUGAUUCAGAACGAUCUUCUAAACUCCAGCCAGUAACAGAAGUGAAAACACAAAUGCAACAAGGAUUAAUCUCUAUAGCAGCCCGUACUGUUAUUACACAUUUGGUAAAUCACUUGGGCCAUUAUCCAAUGAGUGGUGGUCCAGCUAUGCUAACAAGCCAGGUGUGUGAAAAUCAUGAUAAUCAUUACAGUGAAAGUACUGAACUUUCUCCUGAACUCUUUGAGAGCCCAAAUAUCCAGUUCUUUGUGUUGAACAAUACAACCUUAGUGUCUUGUAUCCAGAUCAGAUCAGAAGAGAGUAUGCCUGGAGGAGGUUUAUCCGCUGGCUUGGCAUCAGCCAAUUCAAAUGUCAGAAUCAUAGUACGUGAUCUGUCUGGAAAAUAUUCAUGGGAUUCUGCCAUACUAUAUGGACCACCUCCUGUUAAUGGCUUGUCAGAACCCACAUCUUUCAUACUUUCAUUGUCUCACCAAGAGAAGCCAGAAGAGCCUCCUACAUCUAAUGAAUGCUUAGAAGAUAUAAUAGUAAAAGAUGGGCUUUCCCUGCAGUUUAAAAGAUUUAGAGAAACAGUACCAACUUGGGAUACAAUAAGAGAUGAAGAAGAUGUUCUUGAUGAGCUCUUGCAGUAUUUGGGUGUUACUAGCCCUGAGUGCUUACAGAGAACUGGAAUCUCACUUAAUCCUGCUCCACCUGUGUGCAUUUCUCAAAAACAGGAGAAUGAUGUUAUUAAUGCUAUCCUUAAACAACACACAGAGGAAAAAGAAUUUGUUGAGAAGCAUUUUAAUGACUUAAACAUGAAAGCUGUGGAACAAGAUGAGCCAGUACCUCAAAAGCCUCAAUCAGCAUUUUAUUAUUGCAGAUUGCUUCUUAGUAUAUUAGGAAUGAAUUCCUGGGACAAACGGUAAGAAUAAAUAAGUUUGUUUGUUUAUUGUAGUGGGCAUUGAAUCCAGGACCUUUGCACUGAGCUACAUCCCCAGACCUUUUUUACUUUAUUUUGACACACAAUCUCUCAAAGUCACUAAGUUGCCUAGCCUGAGUUCAAACUUGUGAUCAUCCUGCCUCAGCCUCCCAGAGUGAUGGGAUUGUAGAUGUGUACCUCCACACCCAGCUUUAUUCAUCUUCUGAUUAAAGAUUUUAGUCUCUGUUCUUUUCCUCACUAAAUUUUAUCUAUCAGUUAGUUAU